GGCCUGGUGGUGUAGUGGUUACAUGUCCUCUUUCUGUAAGAAAGGCAAUCAUCGCUCAAAGGAAGCCCCUGGUUCGAACCCAGGUCAGGCCA